AUUGAACGCUGGCGGCAGGCCUAACACAUGCAAGUCGAACGAGUGGCGGACGGGUGAGUAAUGUCUGGGAAACUGCCUGAUUGAGGGGGAUAACUACUGGAAACGGUAGCUAAUACCGCAUACCAUCGGAUGUGCCCAGAGGGGAUUAGCUAGUAGGUGGGGUAAAGGCUCACCUAGGCGACGAUCCCUAUCUGUUCUGAGAGGAUGCCCAGCCACACUGGAAUGGAGACACGGUCCAGACUCCUACGGGAGGCAGCAGUGGGGAAUAUUGCACAAUGGGCGAAAGCCUGAUGCAGCCAGGCCGCGUGUAUGAAGAAGGCCUUCGGGUUGUAAAGUACUUUCAGCGGGGAGGCGUUACCCGCAGAAGAAGCACCGGCUAACUCCGUGCCAGCAGCCGCGGUAAUAC
rnacentral:rRNA from 1 species